CAGUUUCUUACAAAAACUCAACGAGUAAAGUCUUCUUAUUUGGGAUUUUACAGUAAGUAACCACCAACUCUGUGGCAGAGUUGUUUGGCCAACUUCAUAUUUGGCUGGCAUGUGAGAAAAGAAUUUUUGGGACCGCAUCGCGUUACAUUGACAAAUGAAGAAGCUCCCAUCAGUCAAGUCGCUUUGGUGGAAAAGGAGCGAAGCUCCAACUUUGCUUUUCGGACUGAUGAAGAUGCACGUAAAACACCCAAAACCGUGUGUGUGCAAAUGGAGACAAAUGAUCGACGGGGAAAACAGAAAGGAGCAAAAGCUGCGAAAUGAACACUCAGUUCGGGUCCUUGACAAUGAGGGGUGCGGCACGAGCUGGGGCACAGAACCGAACCGGAAACCGAAAACAGUUGCAGAUACAGAUACAUAAUCCCUCGGAUACACAUAUGCGAGCGGCUCCCAUUGGUUGAGUAUUCUCCGUGCUUCUCGCUGUGAAUGUGAGUGUGUGUGCCUAUAGGUGUCUAUAUACCUAAUUUCGGAUACACAUGAGUAGGGCGUCGUUUGGGGGCGUGGCACGGGUGGCACAGAAUGUAUCUGUCAGAUACUUUGGUUGACUCUGACUUUCUAUAAAU
ensembl:ncRNA lncRNA:CR44462 long non-coding RNA:CR44462